GACGAACGCUGGCGGCGUGCUUAACACAUGCAAGUCGAACGGUGAAGCGCCUUCCUUUUUGGUGGGUGUGGAUGAGUGGCGAACGGGUGAGUAACACGUGAGUAGCCUGCCCCCUUCUUCUGGAUAACCGCAUGAAAGUGUGGCUAAUACGGGAUAUUCUGGGUCUGUCGCAUGAUGGGUCUGGGAAAGAUAUUGUUUCGGUGGGGGAUGGGCUCGCGGCCUAUCAGCUUGUUGGUGGGGUGAUGGCCUACCAAGGCGGUGACGGGUAGCCGGCCUGAGAGGGUGGACGGUCACACUGGGACUGAGACACGGCCCAGACUCCUACGGGAGGCAGCAGUGGGGAAUAUUGCACAAUGGGCGCAAGCCUUAUGCAGCGACGCCGCGUGAGGGAUGGAGGCCUUCGGGUUGUGAACCUCUUUCGCCAGUGAAGCAGGCCUGCCUCGUUUGUGGGUGGGUUGACGGUAGCUGGAUAAGAAGCGCCGGCUAACUACGUG
rnacentral:rRNA from 1 species